UAAAAUGUCAGAAGAUUGGGCACCAUGGGUUCUGUGCCUUCCCAGGCCCACCAUCACCUCGAGUGGAGCAGGGGCUUUCCUGCAGCUGGUGGAUGCCCUUCAGCCUCCCACUGUCUUUCAUCCAGCUAUUACGGUGCGUUGUCUGAUUCUGCAGCAGCACCCACUUCUAUCCCACUUGUGUUGUCCCUCAUAUAGCCCCUUUGGAGUUCAAGUGGGCCUUCUAUAAUGUCCAUUUAUUCUUGGACCUGAAAUUCUUGGUCUACCUAUGACUAACAGAGUCCUGGACGAGGGCAGUAGGAACAAGUUCCACACAUCAAGGUGCUUAUGAUAUAAGAUGUACUACAUACCUCCUUGUUGACAGAAUCACUGGAUAAAAGCAGUCAGAACCAAAUUAUAGAAUGCUAUCAUUAUUUCAAAUUCAGCACCUGCUAAACCUUGCCAGGAAUAUGUUGGCCUCUGUGGAAGUCUCUGUAACCAGGCAAACAUGAUAUUGCUAUGGCAUUGUCUCUUGGAACAAAAUAAUGCCCCAAGGUCUUUGGGGAGUUGAGGCUACUCUGGACCUAUAGAUCAAAUUGGAGUCUAAAGAAGCCAACCAGAAAGUACACCAGAGGGAUAGUAUAUGUUUAUAUACACAUGGACGCACCCACAAAUAUAAACACUGGGUUCCCACUGUUAGUGUUCUAAAUGUGUAACUGGUUCUUCUGCUAGGAUGCUUAUUUUUGUCUUUUGACAGAAGAGUAGAACUUCAACUUAAAUAUUUAUUUUGGAAAACAAGAUUGGCUUAUUUUAAUAACGCAAGCAACUGAAAGGAAAAGAAAACCAAGAGGUGGAAAGAUUCAUUUAUUUGGGCGCGGGGUGGGGGAAAGCUCGAGUGUGGAAGAACCUGAAAGGGGACUGAACAAACAUCAAUAAGCAGGUUAGGAGGAAGGUGUAAUUACAACAGAGUAAAAGCACUUUGAUGUCCGAAUAUGGAAAUCGCUUUUCAGACAAGAGUCCACGUGAACACACAUUGCCAGAGCCCCUGUAUUGAGGUUUGAAGCCUGUGUGAAAAUGAUGCCAGUAGGAAAGGGAAAAGAACAUUUCUGCACAGCUGGAAUUUUCAUUUUCCUUUGAAGCGAGAUUCUCCUACUUCCUAAGCACUCCUGGCUUAGGUGCAAAGUCCUGGGCUUAGAAUCAAGAAAUGUGAGUGCUGGUAUCAAAUCUCAUAGCAACGAACAGGCUCACUUUAGGAAAAGCAAAGAAUAAUAGAAUGACAGCCUUGGAAGAGAACUUCAAGUUUUUCUCAAUCCAUCACUUCACAGUGGCUGAAAUGGAGCCAGGACCUGUCUAUGCUGCAGUCUUCUAUUCUGUCAAAUGCACUUAUCGCUUCCCCUGCUUCCAUAAUAGAAUCAUAGUGAGGAUCAAAUGAAAUGGGAAGUUUGAGAGUGGCUCAUCCGCAUCAUCUCUUUCUUAUCUGGAUUCCUAUGCUAUUUGCUAUUAGUUUCGUCAUUUUUUUAAGUUUCCUUGACUUGUUAGCUACACUGCAUUUGCCUACCUUUGAUUUUACCUUGAUUUUGAAAGCCAGGACCUAUAUGUUAAGAAUACAGUGUUAUUAAGCACAUGAAGAGCCAGAAUCAUAUUAUUUGUUGACUGUAUACUAGCAAAUGAAAUUCACUAUGUGGUUCCUACGGCACCAGGCCCUGGGCUACUGUGUACAACAGUCCUUAGAAGUGGGUAUCAUUGAUCGUCUUUUCCAUCUAAGGAGACCGAAAACCUGAGAAGUUAAGCAGCUUCCCAACAACACACAAAUAAGAAGAGGCGGAGGAGGACCAGAUUCAAAUUUCUCUGGCUCCGAAGCCCUUACUCUUUUCAUGCCAACAGGCCUGAUUAAGUUUAAAGUCCAACAAAAUCAUGACAAUCACUGCUUUUUCCCCAGGGACCUAAGAGAUAAGUGCUGGAAAAAUAAGGAGGAAGCAAAAGAAGAAAGAUCCUUUUGAUGUCAUUGAAACCAGUGGUGAGAGAACUGGGAAACUGCCAUGGACCCUGUACUUCCAAGAAUACUGCCCAGGAAAUGUUAUUCGUUAUCUUCACCCCUUUCCCCAGCCUAGCUCCUGGCCCACCAGAUAAUCUCCUGCUCUUCUCUUCAUAUGCAAAUGACGCAGAAUUGUCUUUAAAAAUUAGAUUGCUUAAAUUUAAUCACUGUCCAAGUGUCUUCCAUUUUAUACUUUCAGGCCCUCUUGCCUCCUCUCUCCCUCUCUGGCGGGGCAGUGCAGUGUGCUCAGACUGGGGCCUGACUCUCAAGAUUUGAUUCCAUAAUGAGUGGAAAUCUACAAGCCGUGCCCUCAGGGAGCGCUUGAACCCCGCUCUCUGCAGCUUCCACACUUUCAGGAGGCACUGGCCACCAAGGAUACCUGGCACUGAAAACAACUGCAUUUUUAAAUGGCAAAUCCUCCAGGAAAAGACUGUGUUUAUAUCUUUCUCAGAUUUUUCUACAAUUUUUAACUCCUUUUUUGAUGUAUUCUCUCCCAAGUUUUUUUCUCUCAUAUGACUUUUACUUAAUAUUAUAUUGUGAACUUUCUUAUUGGAAUAAAAACUCUUUUAAAGUA